AGCAGCCGCGGUAAUUCCAGCUCCAAUAGCGUAUAUUAAAGUUGUUGCAGUUAAAAAGCUCGUAGUUGAAUUUCGGGAUCAGUACGCUGGUCAUGCCUUUGGUAUGCACUGGUGUCACUGGUUUCUCCCUUCUGAAGAACCGUGAUGUCAUUAAUUUGGUGUCGCGGGGAAUCAGGACUGUUACUUUGAAAAAUUAGAGUGUUUAAAGCAGGCUCACGCUUGAAUACAUUAGCAUGGAAUAAUGAAAUAGGACGUUUGACCCUAUUUUGUUGGUUUCUAGGAUCGACGUAAUGAUUAAUAGGGAUAGUUGGGGCAUUAGUAUUCAAUUGUCAGAGGUGAAAUUCUUGGAUUUAUUGAAGGCUAACUACUGCGAAAGCAUUUGCCAAGGAUGUUUUCAUUAAUCAAGAACGAAAGUUAGGGGAUCGAAGACGAUCAGAUACCGUCGUAGUCUUAACCNUAAAACUAUGCCGACUAGGGAUCGGAUGAUGUUAAUUUAUAAUGACUCA
rnacentral:rRNA from 1 species